GUAAUCCCAACCCUUUGGAAGGCCGAGGUGGGCAGAUCACUUGAGCUGAGGACUUCGAGACCAGCCUGGACAACAUGGUGAAACCCCAUCUCUACUAAAACUAUAAAGAAUUAGCCAGGCGUGGUGGCACAUGCCUGUAGUCCCAGCCACUCAGGAGCCUAAGGCAGGAGAAUUGCUUGAACUUCCCCAGCUUCAAGAGGAAGAGUCUGCAGUGAGCCGAGAUGGCGCCAUUGCACUCCAGCCUGGGUGACAAGAGCAGAAUUCCCUCUCAAAACAAACAAACAAACCAAAAAAACAAAUAGCAACAGCAGCUACAAUCAUCAUCGCCAUCAAGGCUGGAACAAGGAUGAGGCAGGCAGGCUCUGAUAGUAACAGGAGGAAGCAGACCAAGGAGGGAAAGAAAGGAAGACAGGAAAGGGGGAAAAAAAAAAAAAAACCACAAAUGAUAAUAAUAGAUGCUGACAUUUACAGAGCACUUACUACGUGCUGGGAACCAUGCUGAGGGCACACCGAAUCCACUGAACAGUUGGAGCUCUUUGGCUUUUGGAAUAGCAAAAAAGGAACUGUACAUGGAUAUUUCCAAGCUGGAACCGAGGCACUUUCUAGACGAAGGCAGCCUUAUCCCCAGGAGGAGGACCUACUGUUAAGUUUUCAAGACCACCCAGAAAGAAAUUCGAAGUUGGGUUUGUAUCCUUAAUCCCUUAGUUAGAAAAAAAAGAGAAGUAAAGAAACUCCAUCUCCAAGAUCCUGCUAUAUCAACUUCAGUUUUUUGAAGUUAAAUUUGAUUUUUAAAUCCCUUG